rnacentral:rRNA from 13 species
GCAUAUCAAUAAGCGGAGGAAAAGAAACUAACAAGGAUUCCCCUAGUAACUGCGAGUGAAGCGGGAAAAGCUCAAAUUUAAAAUCUGGCGGUCUUUGGCCGUCCGAGUUGUAGUCUGGAGAAGUGCUUUCCGCGCUGGACCGUGUAUAAGUCUCUUGGAACAGAGCGUCAUAGAGGGUGAGAAUCCCGUCUUUGACACGGACUACCAGUGCUUUGUGAUGCGCUCUCAAAGAGUCGAGUUGUUUGGGAAUGCAGCUCAAAAUGGGUGGUGAAUUCCAUCUAAAGCUAAAUAUUGGCGAGAGACCGAUAGCGAACAAGUACCGUGAGGGAAAGAUGAAAAGCACUUUGGAAAGAGAGUUAAACAGUACGUGAAAUUGCUGAAAGGGAAACGCCUGAAGUCAGUCGCGUCGUUUAGAACUCAGCCUUGCUUUUGCUUGGUGCACUUUCUAGAUGACGGGCCAGCAUCGAUUUUGACCGUCGGAAAAGGGCUAGGGUAAUGUGGCACCUCCGGGUGUGUUAUAGACUCUAGUCGCAUACGGCGGUUGGGAUCAAGGAACGCAGCGCGCCGCAAGGCAGGGGUUCGCCCACUUUCGCGCUUAGGAUGCUGGCAUAAUGGCUUUAAACGACCCGUCUUGAAACACGGACC